CGUGGGUAACCUGCCCAAGAGAUCGGGAUAACACCUGGAAAACAGAUGCUAAUACCGGAUAACAACAGAUGAUGCCUAUCAACUGUUUAAAAGAUGGUUCUGCUAUCACUCUUGGAUGGACCUGCGGUGCAUUAGCUAGUUGGUAGGGUAACGGCCUACCAAGGCGAUGAUGCAUAGCCGAGUUGAGAGACUGAUCGGCCACAUUGGGACUGAGACACGGCCCAAACUCCUACGGGAGGCAGCAGGG
rnacentral:rRNA from 1 species